AGGGUUUGAUUAUGGCUCAGAGUGAACGUUGGCGGCACGCCUAACACAUGCAAGUCGAGCGAAGUAGCUUGCUACUUAGCGGCGAACGGGUGAGUAAUGCUUGGAUAAUCUGCCUUUAGGACUGGGACAACUACAGGAAACUGUAGCUAAUACCGGAUAUGACCACAUUUACCAAGGUUUAUGUGGUAAAAGAUUUAUCGCCUUUAGAUGAGUCCAAGUCGCAUCAGGUUGUUGGUAGGGUAAUGGCCUACCAAGCCUAUGACGCGUAGCAGGUCUUAGCGGAUGAUCUGCCACAUGGGGACUGAGAUACGGCCCUGACUCCUACGGGAGGCAGCAGUGAGGAAUAUUGGGCAAUGGACGAAAGUCUGACCCAGCGAUGCCGCGUGAAGGAUGAAGGCCUUAGGGUUGUAAACUUCUGUCAGCAGGGAAGAUAAUGACGGUACCUGCAGAGGAAGCCCCGGCUAACUCCGUGCCAGCCGCCGCGGUAAUUC
rnacentral:rRNA from 1 species